rnacentral:rRNA from 1 species
UUCCAGACUCCUACGGGAGGCAGCAGUAGGGAAUUUUCGUCAAUGGGCGCAAGCCUGAACGAGCGAUGCCGCGUGAGUGAAGAAGGCCUUCGGGUCGUAAAGCUCUGUUGCGGGGGAAAAAAGGCAGCAUCAGGAAAUGGGUGCUGACUGAUGGUGCCCCGCCAGAAAGUCAUGGCUAACUACGUGCCAGCAGCCGCGGUAAUACGUAGGUGGCGAGCGUUAAUCGGAAUUACUGGGCGUAAAGCGCUCGUAGGCGGUAUGUCAAGUCAAGGGUGAAAUCCCCGCGCUCAACGUGGGAACUGCCUUUGAAACUGGCAAACUGGAGUGUGUGAGAGGAUAGUGGAAUUCCAGGUGUAGGAGUGAAAUCCGUAGAUAUCUGGAGGAACAUCAGUGGCGAAGGCGACUAUCUGGCACAUAACUGACGCUGAGGAGCGAAAGCGUGGGUAGCAAACAGGAUUAGAUACCCGCGUACG